UUCUGUGCUAAAUAACCUGAAGUCACCAGAUUCACAUCUGACCUUGGAAAGUAAGCAAGGUCAAUCCUGGUUAGUACUUGAAAGUAGGACCGCCAAGGAAUAACAGGUGCUGUAGGCU
rnacentral:rRNA from 11 species